GACGAACGCUGGCGGCGUGCUUAACACAUACAAGUCGAACGGAAAGGCCCUGCUUUUGUGGGUUGCUCGAGUGGCGAACGGGUGAGUAAAACGUGUGUAACCUGCCCUUGACUUUGGGAUAACUUCAGGAAACUGGGGCUAAUACCGGAUAGGAGCUCCUGCUGCAUGGUGGGGGUUGGAAAGUUUCGGCGGUUGGGGAUGGAUUGGCGGCUUAUGAGCUUGUUGGUGGGGUAGUGGCUGACCAAGGCUUUGACGGCUAGGCGGCCUGAGAGGGUGAACAGGCACAUUGGGACUGAGAGACGGACCAGACUGCUACGGGAGGCAGCAGGGGGGAAUAUUGCACAAUGGGCGGAAGCCGGAGGCAGCAACGUCGGGUGCGGGAAGACGGCCUUCGGGUUGUAAACCGCUGUCGCCUGUGACGAAGCGGGAGUGACGGUAACGGGUAAAGAAGCACCGGCUAACUACGUG
rnacentral:rRNA from 1 species